UACGUAGGGUGCAAGCGUUGUCCGGAAUUAUUGGGCGUAAAGGGCUCGUAGGCGGUCUGUCACGUCGGGAGUGAAAACUCGGGGCUUAACUCCGAGCCUGCUUCUGAUACGGGCAGACUAGAGGUAUGCAGGGGAGAAUGGAAUUCCUGGUGUAGCGGUGAAAUGCGCAGACAUCAGGAGGAACACCGGUGGCGAAGGCGGUUCUCUGGGCAUGACCUGACGCUGAGGAGCGAAAGUGUGGGGAGCGAACAGG
rnacentral:rRNA from 1 species